ACGGGGCGCAGCAGGCGCGAAACCUCCGCAAUGCGGGAAACCGCGACGGGGUCAGCCGGAGUGCUCGCGCAUCGCGCGGGCUGUCGGGGUGCCUAAAAAGCACCCCACAGCAAAGGGCCGGGCAAGGCCGGUGGCAGCCGCCGCGGUAAUACCGGCGGCCCGAGUGGCGGCCACUUUUAUUGGGCCUAAAGCGUCCGUAGCCGGGCUGGUAAGUCCUCCGGGAAAUCUGGCGGCUUAACCGUCAGACUGCCGGAGGAUACUGCCAGCCUAGGGACCGGGAGAGGCCGGGGGUAUUCCCGGAGUAGGGGUGAAAUCCUGUAAUCCCGGGAGGACCACCUGUGGCGAAGGCGCCCGGCUGGAACGGGUCCGACGGUGAGGGACGAAGGCCAGGGGAGCGAACCGGAUUAGAUACCCGGGUAGUCCUGGCUGUAAACGAUGCGGACUAGGUGUCACCGAAGCUACGAGCUUCGGUGGUGCCGGAGGGAAGCCGUUAAGUCCGCCGCCUGGGGAGUACGGCCGCAAGGCUGAAACUUAAAGGAAUUGGCGGGGGAGCAC
rnacentral:rRNA from 1 species